UACGGAGGGGACUAGCGUUGUUCGGAAUUACUGGGCGUAAAGCGCACGUAGGCGGAUUUGUAAGUCAGAGGUGAAAUCCCGGGGCUCAACCUCGGAACUGCCUUUGAUACUGCAAAUCUCGAGUCCGGAAGAGGUGAGUGGAAUUCCUAGUGUAGAGGUGAAAUUCGUAGAUAUUAGGAAGAACACCAGUGGCGAAGGCGGCUCACUGGUCCGGUACUGACGCUGAGGUGCGAAAGCGUGGGGAGCGAACAGG
rnacentral:rRNA from 1 species